rnacentral:rRNA from 1 species
GUAGGUGGCAAGCGUUGUCCGGAAUUAUUGGGCGUAAAGCGCGCGCAGGCGGUUCUUUAAGUCUGAUGUGAAAGCCCACGGCUCAACCGUGGAGGGUCAUUGGAAACUGGAGAACUUGAGUACAGAAGAGGAAAGCGGAAUUCCACGUGUAGCGGUGAAAUGCGUAGAGAUGUGGAGGAACACCAGUGGCGAAGGCGGCUUUCUGGUCUGUAACUGACGCUGAGGCGCGAAAGCGUGGGGAGCAAACAGGAUUAGAUACCCUGGUAGUCCACGCCGUAAACGAUGAGUGCUAAGUGUUAGGGGGUUUCCGUUCCUUAGUGCUGUAGUUAAUGCAUUAAGCACUCCGCCUGGGGAGUACGGCCGCAAGGCUG